rnacentral:rRNA from 1 species
AACGAACGCUGGCGGCAUGCCUAACACAUGCAAGUCGAACGAGACCUUCGGGUCUAGUGGCGCACGGGUGCGUAACGCGUGGGAACCUGCCCUUAGGUUCGGAAUAACUCCCCGAAAGGGGUGCUAAUACCGGAUAAUGUCUUCGGACCAAAGAUUUAUCGCCUUUGGAUGGGCCCGCGUUGGAUUAGCUAGUUGGUAGGGUAAAAGCCUACCAAGGCGACGAUCCAUAGCUGGUCUGAGAGGAUGAUCAGCCACACUGGGACUGAGACACGGCCCAGACUCCAACGGGAGGCAGAAGUGGGGAUUAUGGAACAUUGGGCGAAAGCCUAACCCAGCAUGGCCGCGGGAGUGAGGAAGGCUUUAGGGUUGUAAAGCUCUUUACCCGGGAUGAUAAUGACAGUACCGGGAGAAUAAGCUCCGGCUAACUCCGUG